GAUGAACGCUGGCGGCGUUCCUAAUACAUGCAAGUCGAGCGAACAGACGAGGAGCUUGCUCCUCUGACGUUAGCGGCGGACGGGUGAGUAACACGUGGCUAACCUACCUAUAAGACUGGGAUAACUUCGGGAAACCGGAGCUAAUACCGAAUAAUAUAUUGAACAGCAUGGUUCAAUAGUGAAAGACGGUUUUGCUGUCACUUAUAGAUGGAUCCGCGCCGCAUUAGCUAGUUGGUAAGGUAACGGCUUACCAAGGCAACGAUGCGUAGCCGACCUGAGAGGGUGAUCGGCCACACUGGAACUGAGACACGGUCCAGACUCCUACGGGAGGCAGCAGUAGGGAAUCUUCCGCAAUGGGCGAAAGCCUGACGGAGCAACGCCGCGUGAGUGAUGAAGGUCUUCGGAUCGUAAAACUCUGUUAUUAGGGAAGAACAAAUGUGUAAGUAACUAUGCACGUCUUGACGGUACCUAAUCAGAAAGCCACGGCUAACUACGUG
rnacentral:rRNA from 1 species